AAGGACCCCGGUCUUACCACCGGGAUGUUCAUAACCCUUUGUUGUCCGACUCUGUUGCCUCCGGGGCGACCCUGCCUUCGGGCGGGGGCUCCGGGUGGACACUUCAAACUCUUGCGUAACUUUGCAGUCUGAGUAAACUUAAUUAAUAAAUUAAAACUUUUAACAACGGAUCUCUUGGUUCUGGCAUCGAUGAAGAACGCAGCGAAAUGCGAUAAGUAAUGUGAAUUGCAGAAUUCAGUGAAUCAUCGAAUCUUUGAACGCACAUUGCGCCCCCUGGUAUUCCGGGGGGCAUGCCUGUUCGAGCGUCAUUUCACCACUCAAGCCUCGCUUGGUAUUGGGCAACGCGGUCCGCCGCGUGCCUCAAAUCGACCGGCUGGGUCUUCUGUCCCCUAAGCGUUGUGGAAACUAUUCGCUAAAGGGUGUUCGGGAGGCUACGCCGUAAAACAACCCCAUUUCUAAGGUUGACCUCGGAUCCAGGUAGGACCCAU
rnacentral:rRNA from 1 species